rnacentral:rRNA from 1 species
AGGGUAACCUGCGGAAGGAUCAUUACCGAGUUU